rnacentral:rRNA from 1 species
UACAGAGGGUGCAAGCGUUAAUCGGAGUUACUGGGCGUAAAGGGCGCGUAGGCGGUUUGUUAAGUAAGAUGUGAAAUCCCUGGGCUUAACCUAGGAACAGCAUUUUAAACUAGUAGACUAGAGAACAGUAGAGGGUGGCGGAAUUUCCGGUGUAGCGGUGAAAUGCGUAGAGAUCGGAAGGAACAUCAGUGGCGAAGGCGGCCACCUGGACUGUGACUGACGCUGAGGCGCGAGAGCGUGGGGAGCAAACAGG